rnacentral:rRNA from 1 species
GAUGAACGCUGGCGGCGUGCCUAAUACAUGCAAGUCGAGCGAAUGGAUUAAGAGCUUGCUCUUAUGAAGUUAGCGGCGGACGGGUGAGUAACACGUGGGUAACCUGCCCAUAAGACUGGGAUAACUCCGGGAAACCGGGGCUAAUACCGGAUAACAUUUUGAACCGCAUGGUUCGAAAUUGAAAGGCGGCUUCGGCUGUCACUUAUGGAUGGACCCGCGUCGCAUUAGCUAGUUGGUGAGGUAACGGCUCACCAAGGCAACGAUGCGUAGCCGACCUGAGAGGGUGGUCGGCGACACUGGGACUGAGACACGGCCCAGACUCCUACGGGAGGCAGCAGUAGGGAAUCUUCCUCAAUGGACGAAAGUCUGACGGAGCAACGCCGCGUGAGUGAUGAAGGCUUUCGGUUCGUAAAACUCUGUUGUUAGGGAAGAACAAGUGCUAGUUGAAUAAGCUGGCACCUUGACGGUACCUAACCAGAAAGCCACGGCUAUCUACGUGCCAGCCGCCGCCGUAA